CCUUCCACCUCGCGUACGCACCACAGAAUAGAAGAGGGAGUGAGAGCCGACCAAGUCAGUGAGGGACAGGGAAAAAGAAACGAGAGACAGAGGACGAGAGGGGAGCGACCGAUCCCAAAGAAAACGACCACGAGCCUAAGUCACUGGGCGACGAACCUAGGCACCCCUCUAGACGAAAAAAGUCCGUACCAGACGGGACAAAUAGCAAAGGGCCCACGAGGCACACACGGUCAACGUAAACGACCGGUUGUGUACAUGUAGGGGACGUUAGACUCUUUACAGAAUCGACUCAUAUAACUCCUCAUCUCUCUGCUCCGAUCCUGAGACGUCAAGUUCUUCCGCCUCGGACUUGAAGAAUCCAAACUUUCGUCCUGAAUGGGUCGGUGUAAGUUCGUGGCUCGUUUGAUGUCGUUCAAACAACCAUCAAGUACCAAACUGAAGUGGGUACUGAUACCGGACACACGACCUCUAGACACAAAUGCGGCCUGGUAGACUGAAAACUACACUUCUCGGUUUGGAUGGCACCACCACUUUCUUAAGAGGGAGACGGAAUAAAUUCAAUAGAGUUACAAAAAACUUUGAAAGCACUUACAAUCAAUAAAAUUAAUUAGUUCAACGUUCUGAUAAAUAAACUACAAAAAGACAUCGAAAACUUUUGGAUAGGCUACGGUUAAUACUCAUACGAUAAAUACAACAUAACGGCGCGUUCAACAACAAGUUGAUGGUAUUCUUGGCGAUGAAUGAGGUAACAGAAAACAACCCGUUAAAGGACGCCACACACGGAAAGUAGGUACAGUACUGAGGGUGAUUGUGUUAGUUCUUAUAGUACUUUUAAGGUUUUUAACAACACAGUUCGAACUUCUCUAAGUACCUACAGGGAGAUUCACGUAGACAGUGAGAACUUAUAGACCUACUUCCACACGUGCAGUAGUGCAGUAAAGUAUGUGAAACACGUCUGUUCUACCCUCCUACUACAAGCUCUUCUGUUCAAAGUUACUCAAGUAUAGUCGUCGAAGAAACCCACUUCUGUUACAACACGAGUAGUGUAAGUUUCUUGCGUUACUAGCGAGUCAAAGACAACACAAGGUCGCCGAGUACGUCCACCUCACAACGCGCAAAUCUCAGACUUGAAAUCUAGCAACUUUGGGCUUGAAAAAAUACACAUUAAUAGAUACUGAGAUACCAAUCAACAGAUCUACUGACAAACUACUAUCUCCAUCACCACGGAGAUGCAUAGGUUCAAGUCUGAAAUAUGAAAACCUACGUUCCUAAUGGCUUGCCAUAUAGAAAACUACCAAUUAUACAGUUCAAAAUUCCUUGACAUACCAACUUUA
rnacentral:rRNA from 1 species